rnacentral:rRNA from 1 species
UACAGAGGUCCCAAGCGUUGUUCGGAUUCACUGGGCGUAAAGGGUGCGUAGGUGGCAGGGUAAGUUUGAUGUGAAAUCUCCGAGCUUAACUCGGAAACUGCAUUGAAUACUAUCCUGCUCGAGGGUUGGAAGGGAGACUGGAAUUCCUGGUGUAGCGGUGAAAUGCGCAGAUAUCAGGAGGAACACCCGGUGGCGAAGGCGGGUCUCUGGGCCGAUAUUUGACGUGGAGGAGCGAAAGCGUGGGGGAGCAAACAGG